UACGUAGGGUGCAAGCGUUGCCCGGAAUCAUUGGGCGUUAAGCGCGCGUAGGUGGCCCCAUAAGUCCGCUGUGAAAGUCAAAGGCUCAACCUUUGAAAGCCGGUGGAUACUGUGGGACUAGAGUACGGAAGAGGCGAGUGGAAUUCCUGGUGUAGCGGUGGAAUGCGCAGAUAUCAGGAGGAACACCAAUAGCGAAGGCAGCUCGCUGGGACGUUACUGACACUGAGGCGCGGAAGCGUGGGGAGCGAACAGG
rnacentral:rRNA from 1 species